rnacentral:rRNA from 1 species
UGCAAUGAGAUUGUACUAAGGUAGCGCGAUAAUUUGUCUCUUAAUUGGAGAAUGGUAUGAAAGGUUUGUCGCAAGUAAAUUGUCUCUAGAAAGAAAAAUGAAGUUUCCUUUUAAAUGAAAAGGUUUAAGUGCGGUUAAAAGACGAGAAGACCCUGUCGAGCUUAAUUAUUCUGGUCGCUUAAGAGUAGUUUUCAAGCUUUUAGAAGAAUGGUAGUUGGGGAGAGCUGGGCUCUAUAUAAUGAGCCCUUUUUAAAACGAAGAUCCUUUUUGAGAGAUAAUAGGCAAAAGCUACCGCAGGGAUAACAGCGUAAUCUUUCUUGAAAGAUCUUAUUGAGGGAAAGGUUUGCGACCUCGAUGUGGGAUUAUA